rnacentral:tRNA from 1 species
AAACUUGUGGGUGUGCGGCCAAACGACAGUUUCGUAAACUGCAGGUCCGGGGUUCGAAUCCCUGCGGUGGCU